ACUCCAGCUCAAAAGAAAAAAAAAAAUGAGUAAAUUGGCCUGGAGUCACCUAUUGCUCCAGUAGCAAGUUCCUGUGAAAUGGAAAUUCAGGAACCCACCCUUGUUCUGGGCCAGUCAGGAAGAGCCUGAGGGGAGGAGCCGCUGAGGGCAGGGCCUCUCCCUGCCCCACCUUCCUCUCUCUGGCAAGCCUGCAGGGCAAGUGGCUGAGAAUCAGCCAGAGGGAGGAAAGUGAGGAGGGGUGGACCAGGCCUGGGAGGGUCCUGGGUGGGGGCGCUAAGGAGAGGAGGUGCAGUACAGCCAUGGGGCUCUGGGACUCAUUCGAUCCCCAGGAGGGUGAGGAGUCCGAGGGCUGCUCUGAUUCGCUGAAGUUUGUCUGUGCACUAGCACCCUGGAAUGAGCAGUCUCCAGGCCAUGAAGACCUUGUCCCUGGUCCUGCUGGUGGCCCUGCUGAGCAUGGAGAGAGGUAAAGUGAGAGGGGAGAACAAGCUCUCCCUCCUCUCCUGCCAGAAGGACGUCGGAUUCCCCCUGCUGAAACUUACAAGUGCCGUUGUGGACUCCCAGAUCUCUUGCUGCAAGGGAGACCUCUGCAAUGCGGUGGUCCUGGCAGCCAGCAGCCCCUGGGCCCUGUGCGUACAGCUCCUGCUCAGCCUGGGGUCAGUCUUCCUCUGGGCCCUGCUGUGAGGGCCUUUCCCGCCCUCUCCCCCGCAGGCCUACCCUCUGUCCCUGUGCGUCACCAGCUGCUUGGUUUUGAAGAGCUGCCUCACUGAAUUGCAGGAAUUCUGGUGUGGCUUUUCAGCCAUGAGAUCAGGGGAAGGAUGUGGCCAGGGCAGAGGUCGGGGCUUCCCUGUCAGGGAACAUAUCCCUGCUUAAACUCCUUGUCCUCUGGGCCCAGGCCCUCCAGCCCAUGCCCCCCAACAACACCACUUUUUUCAGAGCUGGGCCUCAGAGACCAGGCCCCACCACUGGCUGCUUGGGACCUAGGGUCAUAGAGAAACCGUGGCCCAGGGCGGGAGUCCCCAGCUCCAUCCAGCUUGCCACUAACUUGCCGAGGAGCCAGGGCCAACCCCUCAGCUCUCUGGGCUACCUGAAUCCAAGCAAGGAGGGAACGUGGUCCCAGGGGGCCCUGCUGGCCUCCCACACAGGAUGAGGGCCUCCCUCUCAAGGUCAACAAACAGCCCUUUGCUGACCCACUCAGCGUCAGCACUCGGCUUCUUCCUCACCAUUCCUGAGGCCGCCCACCUGCCACUCUGACCUCAGGCCUCUGCAACAUCCUGCUGGCACCAUGGCCUUGGGGAGGUGCUCCUGGGGCACGGGUGCCCCCCCAGGGACCAGAACCCACAGAGUGCCAGGCUCAUGGCUCUUCUGGCAGAACUCUUGCCAUGUGGCUCCAGGGAACAUCUGAGUAGGGUUGUCAGAGAGCCUCUGGAUGGUCACCAAGAGGCAGAGCUCCUGCGGCCACCAGCCAUCCUGUGGUGUGGGCCAGGCCUGUCAUUUCUGUGCCCUGGCUAGGGCUCCCAUGAUGCCCCGUGUCAGGGGUUAGACUGGUCUCCCCUGGUGGUGGGAGAAAGGGGCUCCUUCAGGACUGCACUCUGGACAGAAAGUCAGGGCUGGGCUCAGAAUGGUCUGGGUGGACGGUCAUCUCAGCCUGGAGUCAGGGCUGGGCUGAGAACGCCCUGGGUGGACGGUCGUCUCAGCCUGGAGUCAGGGCUGGGCUGAGAACGCCCUGGGUGGACGGCCGUCUCAGCCUGGAGUCAGGGCUGGGCUGAGAACGCCCUGGGUGGACGGCCGUCUCAGCCUGGAGUCAGGGCUGGGCUGAGAACGCCCUGGGUGGACGGCCGUCUCAGCCUGGAGUCAGGGCUGGGCUGAGAACGCCCUGGGUGGACGGCCGUCUCAGCCUGGAGUCAGGGCUGGGCUGAGAACGCCCUGGGUGGACGGCCGUCUCAGCCUGGAGUCAGGGCUGGGCUCAGAACAGUCUGGGUGGACGGCUAUUGUCAGGGACCCCAAACAGAGGGACCGGCUGAAGCCAUGGAAGAAGAACAUAAAUUGUGAAGAUUUCAUGGACAUUUAUUAGUUCCCCAAAUUAAUACUUUUAUAAUUUCUUAUGCCUGUCUUUACUGCAAUCUCUGAACAUAAAUUGUGAAGAUUUCAUGGACACUUAUCACUUCCCCAAUCAAUACCCUUGUGAUUUCCUAUGCCUGUCUUUAAUCUUUUAAUCCCAUCAUCUUCGUAAGCUGAGGAGGAUGUAUAUUGCCUCAGGACCCUGUGAUGAUUGUGUUAACUGCACAAAUUGUUUGCAGAGCAUGUGUGUUUGAACAAUAUGAAAUCUGGGUACCUUGAAAAAAGAACAGGGUAACAGCAACGUUCAGGGAACAAGAGAGAUCACCUUAAACUCUGGUUGCCUGUGAGCCAGGUGAAACAGAGCCAUAUUUCUCUUCUUUCAAAAGCAAAUAGGAGAAAUAUCGCUGAAUUCUUUUUCUCAGCAAGGAACAUCCCUGAGAAAGAGAAUGUAUCCCUAAGGGGAGGCCUCUGAAAUGUCUGCUUUGGGGACGGCUGCCUUUUACAGUUGUAGAUAAGGGAUGAAAUAAGCCCCAGUCUCCCGCAGUGCUCCCAGGCUUAUUAGGAUGAGGAAAUUCCCGCCUAAUAAAUUUUGGUCAGACUGGUUGUCUGCUCUCAAACCCUGUCUCCUGAUAAGAUGUUAUCAAUGACAAUGUGUGCCCAAAACUUCAUUAGCAAUUUUAAUUUCGCCCCGGUCCCGUGGUCCUGUGAUCUCGCCCUGCCUCCGUUUGCCUUGUGAUAUCUUAUUACCUUGUGAAGCAUGUGAUCUCUGUGACCCACAUCCUAUUUGUACACUCCCUCCCCUUCUGAAAAUCACUAAUAAAAAUUUGCUGGUUUUACGGCUCAGGGGGCAUCACGGAACCUGCCGACAUGUGAUGUCUCCCCCGGACGCCCAGCUUUGAAAUUUCUCUCUUUUGUACUCUGUCCCUUUAUUUCUCAGACUGGCCGACACUUAGGGAAAAUAGAAAAGAACCUACAUGAAAUAUCGGGGGUGAAUUUCCCCCGAUAGAUGACCAUCUCAGCCUGGGGUCAGGGCAGGGCUCAGAAUGGUCUGGGUGGACGGCCGUCUCAGCCUGGAGUCAGGGCAGGGCUCAAGGUCUGGGUGAAUGGCCAUCUCAGCCUGGAGUCAGGGCUGGGCUCAGACGACCAGCAGUCUUUGACCUGCCAUGCCGGGAGCCACAUCUCGUGACCAGGUCCUGGCCUUCCACGCUGGCCAGACGCCUGCAUCCAAGACGUCCUGGUCCCUCUGACUGCACAGUGUGACAGCCACCACCCAGCCAUGCCCUGUACUCCUGGAUGUGAUUUGCUAAUUAGGGUCAAUGGGGUAAGAUGCCCAAUUAAAUAUGAAUUUCAGAUAAACAAUUUUUAGCAUAAGUAUGUCCCAAACAUUGGUAAAAAUGACUAUUUGUUGUUUAUCUGAGAUUCAGAUCAAACUGGGCAUCUUGGACAUUUUAUUUGCUCAACUAGAAAUUCAUGAGUGCCUAAGGAGCUCAAGGGACAUUCCAGACCCCCCAAAUCUGUGUCGGACACAGGGGCAGUCACAAUGGGGUGCAGUGGUUGUACCUGGUGACUCAGGACAUUCGUCUACCUCCUCAUGUCCCCCCUGCCUCUAGCACCACAGUGUCAUGCCCUACCCUCCAGGGGGCCCAGAAAGCAGUGCUUUUGCCCAGGGCCAUUGUCCCCUAGAUAGAGGGUUCAGCCCAAGGAGGGCAGCCCUGAUUCCCAAGCCUCCUGCAGCACUGACUCUCCACUGCAGCAGGCCUGGGGUUUCUGGCCAUGGCUCGCCUUUGGCUCACCUCUCCAGAAGGUCUCUGGAAGCUUCUUCCCCACAGGGUCCUCCCUUCCACUGUAACCUUCCCUGGUUCUGGGAAACAAACUUGAGAGGCCCAGGCGCACCCCACCUCUUCUCUUUAGGUCUCCACA
rnacentral:lncRNA from 10 species